CUUUCUUAGUUUUGCUCUCUAUCAAUAACAUAGUUUAAUUGUCAAUGUCACAGACUGGGGGAGGGGCUGGUAGCUCCUGGAAUCACCAAGUAGCAGAACUGAAGUUACUGUGAGAACAUCUAAAUGCAAAGUGCUAGUGCUAAAAGAAAAUUUUAGGCUUUAUUAAAAUUGGCUAAUUCUUCCAAAGGCAGCAGCUAAAGGACAUGUGAGGCAGGGAUGGGAGGGGAGGAGGUUUGCCUGCCACAGGACGGUGACACCCUUUCCUCCUGUCUCUUCUCUGCUCAGCCCUUGCUCAAGUCCCUCUGCGCUUAGAUUGCAGAUAGCAAUCAACUGGAAGGAAGUAUGUGUGUCUAAUUUGCAUGAGAUUAUUUAAAACAAAAAAAAAAAAGGUCUGCAUUAGUCAGGGUGAUGGUAAACAACGCAAAGAGCUGCCUUUUAUAAUAUAGCCUGUGCCUCAGCUUUCAGAGCCAAAUAUAAUUCACUUACAAUUGGCAGUUUCCUUUAUUAUUCCUUUUAACCUUUUGGAUUCUGCAAGGUCUCAAUCUAAGUUCUCCACUGUUUAUCUCAGUGGGGGUGGGUGGGAACCUGGCUGUCUUAUGUGUGGGCCCUAAGGCAGUACCCCAUCCCUAAAGGCAGGGUCCGUUCAGCGCCAGGGGCUGGUGAUGGGGUAGAUAACCUGCUAUGUUCUGAGAGGAAUGACACUCCACCCCACCUCAGGUUCUGUGAGUCCCAGGUGAACCACUUGAGUCUUGUAGAGUCAAUCUUCCCGAAGCUGGGGACACUCCAGAGGAAAAGGCCACUAAGGGAAGCGUAGGCACCAGUCUGUGAGAGGCCUUUGGAUUUAUUUGAUUAGAAUAUUAGAAGGAGAUGAGGUCGCUCUACCCUUGUCACUCUGAUAGUGUUCAAAAAGUUGUCCAGGUGUCAUUUGCAAAUAGGACCCAGGUGUUAGGUUCCUGUGUUAUUUUGGAAUAGCCCCAAAGCAGCAUUCACUGGCUCUUACCUAUGGAUGGGGUGCCGGUGCGGGGGGUGGCUGGGGGAAGACAAGUUAGUCCUCAUAUUUUCUUUAACAAGAUUGAAGACUUUAGGCAUCAAUUUGAUGUGUUGUAACUCUGUGCUGUAGUGGGAAGUCACCAGGCUGGGGUUUCAUCUGGCAUCACCAGGCUUUUACUAGUAUGAUUUGAGGCAUAGUUUUCACCCUCCUUAGCCCUCAGUUUUUUGGUUUUUGUUUUUUAAUCUGUUAAAUAAGGGCAAUGGCUAGGAUAAUGGCCCGGCUCUGAAAUUAUCUUAUUCAGUGAGAUCGUUAAAAUGCUUAUUUUUUUAAAAAAGAAGAAGAGUGAUUCAUUUUCUAUAACUAAAUCAAAAUCCUGACUCUCCAGAGAACUAGGGAUAUCAGAAUUCCAGCCAAUGUAAAUUUAGAGCAUCAAAUGAUAAGGUCUGUAUAAAACAAGAGCUUGGAAGGAAGUGCUGAUGCCCUUUAAACCGGGGCUUCACUAGUGGGCUUGGCUGCAAUAAUGCAAGGAACGUGUUUUAUUAAGAAAAUAGGCUUCGUAAAAGCUCAGGGCCAGAGGGCAGGACAGUGGUCAGGGAGUCCUGUCCCUUUAACCAGCUCCAGCUCUCAGGGCUGCAGCACAGCCUGUAACUUGCCGUGUAUUUCCCCAGCGUUAAACAUUAUCGUACUUGUUUAUAUUUGAAAGAGCCAAAAGGGAAAAUGAGAAUGCAACCGAAUGCUCCUUUUGGGAAAAUUAUCCUCAUUUGCAGCCAGUGGCUGACAAGGCACACGAACCACCAGGUUUAUGAAGUCCCAUUGUGUACCAGUGACCAGCAGCUCGUGCUGACGCCGCAUGUGCCACUGUCUUCUUUCGUGGCUGAUUAUGACUGGUUAAAACCAUGUCUUUCCUACUAGAACUCUGAAAGGGGUUCCCCUUUCUACCGAGGAGUGACUGGCGGUCAGUACCCGGGCUGGAGCCUGGGAGGCACUCGCUCAGCGAAGCGUGUUCUCUGUGUUUGCCCGGCUCGUCUGUCUGUCCUGCCCCUGUCCUUGGGAGGUGACAUCACAGUAAAGCGGUCCUUUUGCAGCAAGCUGGGGGCUUAGGGAGGAGGAACGUCCCCUGGCUAGCCCCACGUAUUCAAAUUCAGCUCUUGUUUUUGAAGGUGCCAAGCGCCAGUAAAUGAUCCUCUUUGCCCCCUGCCAGCCUCUCCUCUGCCCCGUCAGUCUGUUGAGAGGAUGGUGCGCUUGCUCGGGCGACCCAGCAGCACUGAGACUCCACGGAGGUGUGGCCUUGCCCACCACUGGCGGGCUCUGUCCUGUGCUGAGGGCAAAGAGGGAAAGGGAUGCAGUGUUAAGUGGGGGAGGGACCUUGAGUGCUCGGUGCAGAGAGGAGAAGAGAGGGUCCAGGGCCAUUUAGAAUAGUUCAGGAAUUCUCCCUUGACCACUUGUGGUGGGGCAUGAAGAGUUUGAGGGGCGGCUGCAGCCAACUCACAUGCCAGCGUGGUGUGGGGCAGUGCUGUGCUUAGAGCAUUAAUGGGCUCCGCCGGCUAGCCCCUUGGCACAGAGCUCGAGGCACCAUGCUUCGGGAGAUGCUGACCCUCGGAGCCUCCUUGUACUUCACUACCCCCCAGGGACAGAUAGACCAUGCUGCGGGCCUCUAAUGGAGAGCUGCCGGCCCGAUGUGGAAGAGCUCUUGGCUCUAGUUUAAAAGUUCUGUGUUGUGGCUGGACUGGAUGUCGGGAUUCCCAGAACAGCUCAGGCCGGCCAGAGUGCUCUUUUGCAGAGACUAGCAGUGACCUCCCACCUGCUUCUCCCAGUCGCAGCGCCUGGAGCACUUUUGUGCACACGGUUGCUUCCCCUGCGACACAGAGCUGCCCUGUGGGGAAGUCUCUCUCACACCUGCGCGCCAGUCCUCGUGCAGAUGCUUUGGAUUGGUCAGUGCCCUCAUCCUCUUCCCCAAGAGCUGGCGUCCCUGGUCUGCCUCCGACCUGUUGAAAUAUUCCAGCUGUGCGCCCACUGGAAAUGUCAUCUUCCUGGGUUUUUCACUUGCCUUUUAUUCCUUCUUGGGCGAAGCCUCUCCGCAUGUCAUAGCCACUGCAGAUGGCGCCCUGCAAUUUCCUGAUGUCCCAAGUGCACUGUGGUUUAGACUGUUGGGAGGAUUUUUUUAAAAAAAGGAAAAAGAAAAACUAGCCAAAGGCGAUAUAGGCAGCCUAUGAUAGUCUAGAGUAAUAAUCAUCUGAAAGUUUGGGCCUGGCCUUGUUUUGAUCUAUUUUCUUGUUUUAUUUUCUUCUUUACAGUCUAUAUCCCAUUCAUACUAAUCACAGUCAGUCCUGAUUUUUCUUUUUAUUUCUGCAUUUGUCAUAAAAUAAAGCAAAUUAUUCCCGUCUUCAGAAACGAUCUAGACUAAUUAGUCGUCUCACCCAAUAAUUAGUUUUUUGUUUCCCUGUCUGUUUUCAUGCAUUAUUGUUAGUUUUUUCCCCUCUUUUUUUUUUUUAACACCAUUACAGAUUAAAAUGAGCCACAUUUGCAGUUGAUGGUAUCUGUUUUCGGGGAAGAAUGGAGAAUUGCAGUACAGAGAGACUUCAAAAGCAGCAAUAAACUCAAGGAUAAAUUAAGGAAAUUGAAUGAGCCACAUUUGGAAGCAGUGUUGAGGCUAAUAUUCUGUCGCUUAAGGUUAAAUUGCAGCUGAGAGAGGUUCCAGAGAAUCCGAAAUCGGGGAAGCAACUUACCAGGAUGCUAGGCGUCCUGUGACUCUAAGGUCUUUUCUCAAAUGAUUUCAUUGCAGCCAUGGACAUUGGCAAAAGGUACUCACCAGCAAUUAUGUCCUCUUAUCCCCCAGGGCUGACGGAUGAAGAGAUUGCCUUGGCUUUCCAGCAGUCGGGCACGGCUGCCGAUGAGCCUGCGUCCUUGGGCCCAGCCACACAGGUGGUUCCUGUCCAGCCCCCUCACGUCAUUUCGCAGCCAUAUAGUCUCUGAGGGAGCAUUGAUUACUGAACGCCUGCUGUGUGCCAGGCACUGUGCCGGACCCCUGGGAUGGGACGAUUAAGGCCUGGCUGGUCUCUGUCUCCAGCCCUCCUGUCCAGUAGGAAAGACAGUUAAGGGAACACAGCAGUGCUAUGAGGUCAGCCCAGGAUGGUGGCACAGACAAGGUGAAGGGGCGCCUCAGAGAGCGGGAGAUGCCUAACUGGACCUGGGGCAUGAUUGGUACAGUGACCAGACAGGAUGGACCGGAGCAUCCAAGCUAAAGCAAAGCCACGUGGACGUGAAACCAUGUGAUGGUCAGAGCGGCUGCAACAUGGGAUAGGAGUGUCAGAAGACACGACCUGAGGGAGGUGGCUGCCACGUCAUCACCCUGACGGAGGACAGUCAAAAUCACAUGGCUUUUUUACUUUGAAAUGCAUUGUGUAAUUAUUUUUGAGGCUGUAUUACCUAUUUGACUGUAUUAUUCUUAGACUAAUAUUAAAAUUAUUUGUACCAUUGGAGCAGAUGCUGCGUGGGGAAUUAGAGAAGACAUGCUGGGUGUGUGCUGGAUGCGACAGGGGUCCAGAUGCUCUUCCCGUAACUCCCUUUCAAAUGCCUCCAUUCCAACUGGGAUGGAGGUUCCCCUUGCCUUGAUCAGCCCCCUGCUCGCCAUCACACUACACUGAAAUAUUUACUCACUUCCUAUUAAACUGUGAGUUUCUUGAGCUCAGAGGCUUUUUUAAAAAUCUAUGGCCCAAGGUUCUGACUUAGCAGGUUUUCCAGAAACACUUGUUGAAUGAAUAAAUGAUGGUGGACGUGUGCUUGAGAAUUGCAAGGCUGCCGAGUAAUACCAUCAACUCUUGGGGUUGAUGCCCAGGUAGCCAGGCAGUGAGGCCUCCUGUGUGCUCUGUGUGGAGCAGGCCGCAGAAGUAGAGGACAGGCCUUGCCUCAGGAAGCCCCAGUGUAAUGUAGAGGGAAGCCCCGUGCUUGGGCAGGACAGCAAAAGCUAACCCAUGCCAUCUUGUAUGGUGUGAAUGGUGAGAGCUUUCGGGAGUUAAGAACAAAGGAACCCCCAGGGUGCUGAUCUCAGGCCAGACCUUCUGGAGGAAGCAGGUCCAUGGAGACACCUAGAAGCUGGGGGUGGGGAGGGUGUAAGUGACUCUGGAGGUGAGUGUGAAUGGAGGUGGCACUGUGAACAGCCUCUCUGUUCCCACCAAGAACUGAACGGGGAAGAAUCUCUCCCGUUUCUCUCUCUCUCUCUCUCUCUCUCUCUCUCUCUCU